rnacentral:rRNA from 1 species
UGCGCUGCCUUCCAUGCAGUCGAACGGUAACGCGGGGCAACCUGGCGACGAGUGGCGAACGGGUGAGUAAUACAUCGGAACGUGCCCAGUAGUGGGGGAUAGCCCGGCGAAAGCCGGAUUAAUACCGCAUACGACCUACGGGUGAAAGCGGGGGAUCGCAAGACCUCGCGCUAUUGGAGCGGCCGAUGUCAGAUUAGGUAGUUGGUGAGGUAAAGGCUCACCAAGCCUUCGAUCUGUAGCUGGUCUGAGAGGACGACCAGCCACACUGGGACUGAGACACGGCCCAGACUCCUACGGGAGGCAGCAGUGGGGAAUUUUGGACAAUGGGCGCAAGCCUGAUCCAGCCAUGCCGCGUGCGGGAAUAAGGCCUUCGGGUUGUAAACCGCUUUUGUCUGGAAGAGAAACGUCUCCGGGCCGAUACCCUGGAGGUAGUGACG